rnacentral:lncRNA from 1 species
CGAUCCUGGAAAAGAUUAAGAGGCACGAACCUACGAGUUCAAGAGCAGAAUGUCACUCUGGUGUUGAACUUUGGGUUUUCUUUUCUUUCUUUGAGUCAAUGAGAAAGGCAUCUGACAGCCCCUGGUCAUGGUAAGGCACUUGGGGUAGGCCCUCACCCCAAGAACCUCAAGUGUGUGUGAGGAGCCAGGAAAGGGUGGCAAGGGGAAGUCCACAGAAGGGAAGGCGGGUUGUGGUAUUGUUUGGGGAAGGGGAUCUCCCUGCCUCCUAGUGCUGUGGAUCCCAGGAAAAGAUAGGAGUUCUACAUCCACAGGAUACCCCAAACUACCUGUUACCCAGAGUCCCUAGUGACUCAGUGGUUGGGGGAAUUUACCUGAAGUGUAGAGUUCUCAGAUCGGAGCUCUGAACCACCACGGAUGAGGAACACACUAGACGCAAGUGGAAUCAUCCUCCCUGAGGAGCCACAGAGACCUGGAGACUUGUGUCAGCCCGUAGACUGAAAGGACCAAUGGCCUCUGCUGCAAGUGAAAGUUAGACUGAUUGCAGUCUGUACUUUGUGUACAAUUUGGAUCUGGGAAAAAUUGAAGGUGCAGGAGCCCCAUGAAGGAGCAGACUGAGCUUUCUGCUAAUCAGGCAAAUGGGGGCAUAAGUCAAUUUUCAUGGGGAAAAAUAAAGACUCCAUUAUCUUGCAACCCGACGUAGUUCAUUCUAGCAACAACUUCUAGAACUUGUGCUAAGGGAUGCCACCUUUGUCCAAUUCUCCCUUGUUUUGUGGUACUGAGGUUUGACCCAGGAGCACUUUACCACUAAGCUGCAUCCCCAGCUCUUUUUAAUUUUCAUUUUCAGACAGGGGUCUAAGUUGCUAAGGAUGGACUUAAUCUUGAGAUCAUCCUGCCUCAGUUUCCCUACUCCUUGGGAGUACAGGUAUGUGCCAACUUUCCAACUUCCCCUUGGUUUCCUGCCUCUGGGAUGUUACUUCCUUGCCUCAAAUGCCCUCCCUUCUCACCUGCAAUCAUUGAAAUCCAAUUCAUUCCUUGAGAGCUAAUUCCAAUGUUCCUUUUAUAUGAUGCCUCUCUGAUCACCUCAACUAGAAGCAAUCUGUCUUUACUUUUAUAGACUUUCUUUUAGCAUUUGCAUGCCUUUUUCACAUUAUACCUAACACUGUAUGGCAGUUGUCAACUUGUCUUUUUUUUAUCUAAUAGUUGGCAAACUUCAUGUCUUUAUGUCUCCCAAAGUACCUGAUACUUAGAAAGUACUUCUUAAAUAAAUAAAUAAAUACACCAAUUUUUUAAAACAACUGCAACUAAGGUAUGGUAGGCAUUGUGAAUGUCUUAAUAUCUCUUUUCUUCCUUCCCAUUGUGUAGGUACCAUCAGUUUGAGUGGUAGCUCCAGGGGGUGCCCCCCACCCAGGGUGUAAGCCAUUUUCAACCUCUUACCAAGAAGAAAGUUGUUUGAGCCUGAGCCAGUUAGCACAGGACAUGCAAUGGUCUGAUCAGAAUGAAGCUCAGUAUUUCUGUGCAGUAGCUACAGGAAGCAAUAGCUUCUUUGUCCCUAGACUCAUUGGAGCACAAGUUGCUGUUCACAGCCAUAUGGCAAUCUAGCCCACAAAGGAGUACAGGCAGAGAGAAUCAGAGAAAGAAAUGGAGCUGCAGCCCUGAUUAAAACAUAUAAGAAGUCUCCCCUAACACUUAACUGUUUAGUUAUGUGAACCAAUAAAGCCUCUUUGUGUUUUCUCUUGCUGACAAGCACAAUCUAACCAGUGCCUUGGAAAUUGUAUUUGUCAGUUUUGGAGGCUGAAAGUCCGAGAUCCUGGGGCCCCAUUGGUUUGUUCUCUGGUAAAGGUCUAAUGACAGAUGGAUUGUGGCAGAAGUGCAUGUGGGAAAUGAUCACAUGGAAACAGGAAGCCUGAGGAGUAAGGGGUUGGGCUUAUAAAAGUUCAGGGGUCCCAGGAGAGCUACCUUAAUUUCUUCUGAGGACGGCUCCCCAGUGACCUAAGAGUCUCCCAUUAAGCCCCUCCUCUUAAAGGUCCCACUAGCUCUCAGCACCGCCAUAGUAGAGACCAAGCUCCCAACAUAUAAAUGCUAGGGAACACACUCAAACUAUAUCUAAACUGUAGAAAGAAGGCAGCAUUUUGGUGAGUGCUGUGGGUUCAAAUGUUGUAUGUAAGUGUAUGCACCCACAUUCACACAUUCACAAUAUCUGAAUCCUCUUAGAGAAGAACACACACCUUCAAUUCCUGGGAGGGUUGUGACUUCUGCUUUUACAAAAUUGUAUACUUAAAACUUUUUGGUAAAAAUUGCCAAGUCAAAGAACUGAUGCCAUUUUUUUUUCAGCACUGAGGAUUGAACUCAGGGUCUUGCAAGUGUUAGACAAUUGUUCUGCCACCAAGCUAUAGCUCUAGACAUCUUUUGACAAUUUUCUUUUCUUUUUUUUUUUAAUUUUUGUGUUAAAAAUGAUUUUGUAAUUUUAACUCAAAUUAAUAAGAGUAUCUAAGGCUCUGGCAAGUGAUAAUAUAUUGUAAAUACUUUUUCCUUUUAAAAAUUAAUAUAUUGCUGGAGGGAGGGAGGAGGAGAGGGAGAGAGGAGGCACUGGGAACUGAAAUAGAGCAAAUUAAAUUCCAUGCAUUUAUGAUUAUGUCAAAAUGAACCCAACUAUCAUGUAUAACUAUAAAACACUAAUAAAAGCAUUUUAAACAUUAAUAUUUGAUCCAUUUGUUAGUAUUUAAAGAAAUAAAAUCAUCUUUUACCUUAAUAUGAAGUAUUUUCAACAUUCUCCUUAGGAGGUAAAAUAGGGUUCUAAUAAUUGGAAGGUGAUAUUGACUUUUCCUGGCUCUGUUCCAUGCCUUGACCUUAUUUUCAACUUUGGCUUAAGAUUUUGAAACCUGUUUGUUCACUUGCUUUCUUGGCAAGCACUCUGACUCCUUUCUCCAGGGACUUAGCUCCUCAUGAGCUGGGACCACGUCUUGUACCUCUUUCAUAACCCAGGUUCUCCCCAAGCCACAUGGAGUCCAGAGUGUCCCAAAAGCUGGUGGGCAGCUCAUGGAAAUUUCCACAUCAGCCGCUCAUCCCCAGCCCCUCUCCCAGCCUCUUGGGACCUAGCCUACAAGUCCUACCAGCCCAAGGACACUGAGCCUGGCUCUGGGUCAGCCUCUGGGUCUAUUUAUGACUUUUUAUCUCAGGGUUUGCCUGGCAUUUUGCACUCAGGAAACCUCCUCCUGUCCUCAUCAGUCAACACACAAACAUGUGUCCUUAUCUGGACAAGAAGAGAACAGUGGGUCAGAUAAACAAACUUUUCCAUAUGGCUGCCCUGUUGGUCCCUGUGUCUUUCUACCUUGGAUUCAUUCUUCUGAUCUGGUGCCUAAAUAUUUGAUAGGAACAAAGAAAACCUUCUGAUAUCAGAUAAUAUAUCUUUAGGACAACUGAUAAACUUAUUGAUAAACUUUUUUCUUACAUGCUUCCCCUUACUAGGGAAAAUCUGUCUGUCUAUGAGAUGGUAGAAACCUCUUCCUUUCUUCUUCAUACAUUCCCCUGAGCUCAGACCAUUGGUAGAAGUAAUUACUGAAAAGCCCCCAAGGCCCCUGUGGAAGUUGCUCAGGGAAAAACUAAGCCUUUGAGGGACUGGGAGUGCCUAGUGCCUGGGGAGGGAGGGAAAGAGGAGCUACCCUGCCUCUACCAUGGCACCACUGUUUCCUCUCCCUGGACAUUGAAGAAGAAACCAAAGAAUCUGAGAACAGAGCAGAGCCUGGCCAUUACACCAGGUCCCUUAGGUACAUUAAUCUCUUUGGGCCUUUGCAUUUUAAGGGACCACAAACCUGACCUACCUACUUAGUUCUUAAUUUUUAUUUUAUGAUAUUAUCUGUAGUAUUAUUUUACCAAUGGCUCAGAUAUCAUCUGGAGCCUUUGUGGAUAAAGUUGUUUCAAACUUCUAUUCCGCAUUUAGUGGGAGUCUAAAGUCCUCCUCAAAAGUUUGGCCGGUCCUCGGAGGGAGACCUGAGUGGAAGGUGGAAAGAGGCUUACACUGCUGACCAAUCUGGCUCUGAGCCCUUGCAUCUGCCGACUUUAGUGUGCAGACUAUCUCACUAGCCUUGGGCUGUCCCUAUCCAGUGCUUUUGUCAGCCCCUUCAGGGGAACAACUCCAAAACGAGUCACCCUGGACCUCCUUUAUCCAGUCUCGUGAAGGUUUUCGUAGGCUGAUUCUCCACGUGGAAUGGUCUAGCCUCUCUCUUUAUUCUCUCAUCUUUCCUCCUUAUCCAUCUCUUUUGUAUUACCUCCAGAAUUCCAAAUCCUUGUUUUAUUCUAUAGAGUCAUUUAUUUUUCUAUCAUUUCUUCUGCCAAACUCAGCCAUACAAACUUAUCUAAGUUGCAGAGUAGGAUGUCAAGCAAGAUCCAUCUUCACUAUGUACCAGGCAAUUGUGGCUGUGAAUAUUUUAUUCUCACUCUUUUAAAACUGAAAUAAAAUUUCUGCUAAAUACUUGUCCAAACGACAAAUCCACAUCUUUGGAAGUAGAGAAAAUGAGGAAGAGACGACAAUUUUGAUCUAAUUCUCUCAAUAAGGGAGUAUCUGGUUGUAAACUGAAAGGGAGAUAAUGAGGACUAACUUCAUCUUUUCCUGUGAAAGAAUUAACUUUAACAAUUUCAUAUUCUUCAGGAAGUUUAUGCUAAGCAAAUAAUGCAAAUUAUGGACAGUUAUUUUGCACAAAAAGAUUUUCAUUAAUUCUUUUUUGUAUUUGUUCCAAAUAGUUAUAUGUGACAGUAGAAUGCAUUUUGACCCAUCAUACAUAAAUGGAGUUUAACUUUUCAUUCUCUGGUUGUACAUGAUGUAGAGUUAUAAUUAAUUCUUUAUUCAAAAAAAAAUCAGAUGCAACCUAAAAGUAUAGAAGAAGGUGAUAGUUACACAAAUUAUUAAUUAUUGCUACAGUGAACUAUCAUUAUACAGUAUUUUUUAAAAAAGUAUUCAUUUUUUUCAGGUCCUAUAAUCUUUGACAAGAUGAAAGGCCUUUGCUUUUCUUAAAAAAUAUAUUUUUUAAAAUUUUUGGAUGUUGAUGGGCCUUUAUUAUCUUAAUUUAUUUAUAUGCGGUUCUGAGAAUUGAACCCAAUGCCUCACACAUGCUAGGCAAGUGCUCUACCACCGAGCCACAACCCCAGCCCCUUAAAAAAUAAUUUUAUUUUUUUAUGUGGUGCUGAGGAUUGAACAUGGUGCCUCACAUGUGCUAGGCAAGUGCUCUACCACUGAGCUACAGCCCCAGUCCUAUUAUAUAGUAUUUGAAGUUGUUUUUGAAAAGUAAUUAAUAAUGUGAUAAAAUAUCAUCAAUAAAAAAAGCAAAAAAUUAAAUGCAGAGCUACCACAAUCCAGCUACUGGGUACAUAUUCAAAUGAAAUGAAAUCAGUACGUUGAAGAGACAUUUGCUCCCAUGUCUAUUGCAGGAAUAUUCACAACAGCCAAAAUAUGAAAUCACCUAAAUUCCACCAACAAAUGAAUGGAUAAAGAACAUGUGGUAUAAUACAUAAUGGAAUACCAUUCAAUAUUAAAGGAAAUGCUGUCAUUUGUGACAACACGGAUGAACCUGGAGGACAUAUGAGUCAGGCACAUAAAGACAAACACCACAUGAUCUUAUAUGUAGAAUCCAAAAAAGUUGAAUUCAUAGAAGCAGAGAGCAAACUGGUGGUUACUAGUGACUUGCAGUGGGUGUGGUGCUUUUAAGAAGAUGGUGGUCAAAUGGUAAAAAAAAAAAAAAAACUCCAAUUAGAACAAAUAAGUCUAUGAGCUCUAUUGUACAGCAUAAUGACAAUAAUUAAUAUCAAUGAGUUGUAUUCUUGAAAAUUGCUGAGAGAAUAGUUUUUAAGUGUUUUCUCCACAAAAAUCAGUAUGUGAAAUAAUACAUAGGUUAACAUGAUUUAGCCUUGCCACAAUGUAUAUAUAUUUCAGAACAACAUUUUAUACAUGAUAUAUGUUUCAAAUUUUUGGUUCAAUUGGGAUUGAACUCAGGGGCACUCAACCACUGAGCCACAUCCCCAGCCCUAUUUUGUAUUUUAUUUAAAGACAGGGUCUCACUGAGUUGAUUAGUGCCUCGCCUUUUGCUGAGGCUGGCUUUGAACUCAUAAUUCUCCUGUCUCAGCAUCUGGAGCCAUUGGGAUUACAGGCAUGCACCACCGCACCUGGCAGAAAAAUAAAAAAUUUUAAAAUUCGAAUAAAAAAAUAAAGCAGUGUGCAAGUAAUGGAGAAUGUAUGUUCUCAACAUAGAAAAACAGAUACAAAAAUUAUGCUGAAAUAUUAAUAGUAAUUACCUAGAAAUGGUCAGUGUUAAUUUCCUCUAUUUUGCCAUGGUAGGCAUAUAUUACUUCUUCAAAUAGGAAAAAAACCCCACUAUUUUCUGAAAAUAAAAUGCUAGACUGGUAGAGCAGAGCAAUGCCACAUAUACAGGGUAUCCUGGUUUUACAAGGCAUUUGACAAAGUCCUCCAAUGAUAUGCAUGUAUACUACUGGGUGAAAAUGCACACUGAGUUAUGAUAAGUCUAAAUGGUUGGUUAUCACCUCCACUCCAGAGUUUGGAAUCCAGUGGAAGAAGCAGGUUUCUGUUCUGCUUCAUGCAUUUACUGUAUUUCAGGUAGAGAUGAAGAACUACACUGUUCCAUAUGGUAUUCAUUAGCUAUGUGUGACUAUUUAAAUAUAAUUAAAAAUAGCAUACUAUAGUGAUACAGCCACAUCAAUGUUUAUAGCAGCUCAAUUAACAAUAGCUAGACUACGGAAUCAAUCUAGGUGUCCCUCAUUAGAUGAAUGGAUAAAUAAAAUGUGGCAUAUAUACUCAAUAGAAUAUUACUCAGCUUUAUAGAAGAGCGAAAUUAUGGCAUUUGCCAGUAAAUGGUUGCAGUUGGAAAAUAUCAUGCUAAGGGAAAUAAGCCAAUCCCACAAAACCAAAGGCCAAAUGUUUUCUCUAAUAUGCGGAUGCUAAUUCACAAUAAGGGGGGGGGACACUAGGGAAGAAUAGUGUUACCUUAGAUUAGGUAGAGGGAAGUGAUGGGAGGGAGUGCAUAUAGGGAUAGUAAAGAUAGUAGAAUGAAACAGACGUUAUUACUGUAUGUAUAUAUGUGACUACAUGACCAAUAUGAUUCUGCAACAUGUGCACUCAGAAAAAUGAAAUUAUAUCCCAUUUAUGUAUGAUAUAUCAAAGUGCAUAAAUGCAUUCUACUGACAUAUAUAACUAAUUAAACAAAUCAAAAAAUUUUAAAAAUCAAAUAUAAUUUAAUCCCCCAGUUGUAGUAGCCUCGUUUCAAGAACUCAAUAGCUGUAUGUGGCUAACAGUUACCAAACUGGACAGCACGGAUUUGAAGCUGAUCUAGGGGGCAGGCUUAUCAGUUUCACAGAGGCCUCUCAGAUGAUUACCCAGUCUAAACAGAUAAACUGGAAUUACUAUAAUUUCCUCCAGGAGGGUGCCAAAACACAAUUGCAGAUUUGAUAAUUCUGAGCUGUAUUGGUCAAACCACAGAGAAUUCAAGUGUAUUUCCUUUGGUGGUAUUUUCAGAAUUAGAAUUGGCAAUAAAGAAAUUGCCUAAAUCCUCAGCGGUAGAGCGCUCACCUCGCACGUGCAAGACCCUGAGUUUGAUCCUCAGCACCGCACAGAAAUGAAUAAGUGAAAUAAAGAUGUUAUGUCCAACUAUAGCUAAAAAGUAAAUAUUAAAAAAAAGAAAUUGCCUAAAUAGAAAGUACAAUUUUCAUCUCUACAAACUACUAUUGGUUAUAAACAUAUCACAAUGGAGGGGCUGGCACAGUGUAUAGAGAAAAAACUGUUAGGAAUAGCUCCGGCACUUGAUUUUGGUUUUGGUAACAACAACAAAGCUUUGUGCUUUGUUAACUAAACAAUGAGACAAUGAAUCAUAAAGGAAAUAAAAAUGAUGGUUCUGAUGAGAGAGAGAAGAGAGAGAACAUGCCAAACUAGCACUUGUGAGCAAAACCCAGAAGCAAUCAAGCGAUGCUUGAUUUUACAGCUACACUACUAAAGCAGUAAAGCAGCUUUGUAAUCAAGAUUCCUACAGGAAAAUGAUUUUAUUAUUGUCCAUCUAAAAUUUGCUAACCUCAAACCCUGUCUUUUUUCACCUCUAAAAAUAUUAGUUCUUAUGUUUUGAUAAUGUGACUUCCAAAAAUGCAACAAUAAUAGUGGAAUAGACAGAACUGUAUUCAUUUUUUAGUAUCUAGAAACAACAACAAAUAGAAGACACUUAGGCCUAAAGCUGAUGUGUGUACAUCUGGGAGGGAGGAAAUUGGCAUUGAAUUUCAGUACAAUACAAGGAAGAUCUUUCCAAAAAUUAGAGGUGAUACGUUGGGCUGUUGGAGAUGUAUGGGGUGAGGGGUAGGAUAGGCUAGAUUCUAGUCAGGCCAAUCUGAAUUUUUGUAUUUGGAUACUUUCUUGUUAUGAGGCCUUGGACAAGUUACUUAGUUCUUCUAAGCUCCUGUUUCUUCACUUUUAAAAGGAGCAAAGUAACUCUUUUAGUGUUAUUGAAUUGAGUAAGAUGGUACAUGCCUAUGUUUAUCAUAGUACCUGGCACUUGGUAAACCUUCAUAAACCAUAUCUCUUAGCUCUUAUGGUUGUUCAUGGUGAUUGAACUGUCUCCAGAUGUUCAAGCAAAGUGCUAUGGUUUGGAUUUUAACUGUCUCCAAGGGCCCAGGUGUUAAAAGGUUCCUCCUGAGCUUGGUUCUACUGGGAAGUGGUAGAACCUUUAAGGGGCAGGGCCUAGUGGAAAGAAGUCAGGUCAUUAGGGGCAUGGUGAAAACAGGAAUGUAAUUUUGCCUUUCCCUUCAAAGCCCUGCUCUUAGCCACUAGGCUACACUCAUGCAAAGAUGGGUGAAUUGUUAUAUAUUCCUGGCUGACUGAAUAUGAUGAUGAACAGCUGCAGGGGGAAACAUGUGGGAUUUAGCAUUGUAGUAAUGAGGAAGGAGUCCAAACCAGGAGUUAAGGAGACUUGGGACUUGGACCCUUGUCUUGUGACUUUGGAUUUCAUUCCCUUUCUACCAAACAACAUUUGAACUGGCUCUUUCAUGCCAGGUUGCUUCAGGGUUGUUGGAAAAAGUCAUGGGAACCACCAGCUAACAGGAAGUGCAUUGAAUGGCUCCAGGGCUUUGUCUUCCAUUGAUAGAGAUGUUCAUGUCUUGUUCUGAUACAAAAUGAGGUCCUAGUUCUGGGUAAAACCUCACAUAUGCCCUUACCACCACCUUUAUCCAUGAAUAGAAAGGCAGGGGAAAGUCUUGGCUACCCCCUCCCCUUCCCACUUUAUGGCCUGAUAACUGCAUACUACUGACAAUACAUGGUAUGAGGUGCUCUUCCCAGACAAUGACAACAAGGACUAACAUUGCCAGUUAAAGGUGAACACCCAGAAAACAGGCCCUUAUGCUCAGCUCUGAACAACAUGGAAGUCAAGUGCAUUCAUCAAAUACAUCAACCUCUGUGGUGUGGUCAGGUUCUGACCUGGGCCUGGAUCAAAAAGCCAGUCCUCAAAUGGAUGGAGUUAGAGAAGAUAAUGCUAAGUGAAGUUAGCCAAUCCCCAAAAAACAAAUACCGAAUGUUUUCUUUGAUAUAAGGAGGCUGAUUCAUAGUGGGAUAGGGAACGGGAGCAUGGGAGGAAUACACAAACUCUAGAUAGGGCAUUAAGGUGGGAGAGAGCAUGGGGUUAGAAAUAAUGGUGGAAUGUGAUGAUCAUUAUUAUCCAAAGUACAGGAAUGAAGGACACAAACUUGUGUGAAUAUACUUUGUAUACAACUAGAGAUAUGAAAAAUUGUGCUUGAUAUGUGUAAUAAGAAUUGUUAUGCAUUCCACUGUCAUAUAUUAAAAAAUGAUAAUAAUAAAAAGAAAGAAACCAAGAUUUGAGUACCAGAAAGGUUCAUUACUAUAUCCAAACUUUUAGUGCUCAGUAAGCAUGACUCUGGAUUGUUGCGUGAUCUAUUUAGUUUGCGCUCAAGAAAGCAAACAUCCCACGUGUAAAUAGUUAAUAUAGUUACAUUUAUUCUUUUGUUUAUUAAACAUUUGGAGAUGUGCUACGUAGUAAACACUGUUCUUUCACUGAAGACACAGAAAACGUGACUGUUGUAAUGGAACUUACACUGUAUGGGGAAAAAGAAAAUAAUAAAUAAGCAAAUAAAUAUUUAUUAUGUCAUAUAAAGAUGAUUGAUAUGGAGGAAAACAAAGGACCCAGAAGGAAGCUUAAAGGGGAGAAGCUGCUAUUUAAAACAAGAAUGAGGUGAGCAGAUUAUAUAUCUGGGAUAGGGAGAGGAAAGAGAGUGCUCUAGACAGAAGUAAUAAAAAAUAUACACCUGUUGGGGGGGAAGAUUGUUUUAUGGGUCCCAACAAAGCAAGACCAGUAUGGCGGUAAUAGGGUGCUCAGAGGCAGUCAGAUAGAACUUCAUGUCUGACAUACUCUGAAGGAUAUCCUACAACAGGCCCUUUCUUUAGCUAUCUUAGAUAUCAAGACUGCAUAAUAUGAUAUAUCAAGAACUAUGUAAUGUUUUGAACAGCCAACAAUAAAAAAUUAAAAAAAAAAAAAGACUGCAUAAUAUAUAAUUGGACUUACUACUUUCAUUCAGGUAAUGAAUUAAAUAACAUUUUAUCUGGAAUACUACUAUUAUCUAUGAAAGAUGUGGAUGGAUCACAAUGGAUUUUUCUGCUAUUAACUUCUUAACACCUGUAAUUUAUUAACAAAUAUCAUUUCCUAAAACCUUUGAUAGAAUUGUUUGAGGCCCAGAAAAGAUGUGAGAAACAGUUGGACCAAAAGAACGAAUACAUUUCUAAAUGAAUAAAAUUUUACAAGAUUAAAAAAAAAAAAAAAAAAGCCAGUCCUCUCUGAUGUCACCAGGGAGGAAGAACAUGGGGGCUUGAACCUCCUACACAGCAAGAACCUGUUUUGUCAUCUUUGCUUUUCCUAUUCCAGAGACUGGUUGGCUGAAUGCUGCAGGCCCAUUUGGUGACCACCUUAUGCUUGAGGGAGCCCUGGUGGCUCACAGCAGAAUCUGCUGCCCUCCUGUGGCCGUGCUGGCAUGGCGCUAACAAAAGGAGAAAUUCAAGAAAAACUGAAGAGUCUUUGAAGACACCCAAGAAGUGGCAGAAGAACAGCAGCCUCCCUGGGAGAGUCUUCAAACAUUUUGGCCUCAGAAACUCCUUUAUACUUGUAAAAAUUACUGAGAACCCCCAAAGAUCUUUUAUAGGUUAAUUCUAUCCUAUUUAGAAAUACAACUGAAAUUUUUAAAAAAUUAUCUAUCAAUUCCUUAAAAAUUAAUAGUAAACAUUUUAACUCAAAUAAUGCAGUUAUAUGAAAA